UGAUUAUGACGUACUUGUACUGAUUGAGAUUUUAACACGAAGUGAGUGGCGAACGGGUGAGUAACACGUGGGUAACCUGCCCAGAAGUAGGGGAUAACACCUGGAAACAGAUGCUAAUACCGUAUAACAGAGAAAACCGCAUGGUUUUCUUUUAAAAGAUGGCUCUGCUAUCACUUCUGGAUGGACCCGCGGCGUAUUAGCUAGUUGGUGAGGUAAAGGCUCACCAAGGCAGUGAUACGUAGCCGACCUGAGAGGGUAAUCGGCCACAUUGGGACUGAGACACGGCCCAGACUCCUACGGGAGGCAGCAGUAGGGAAUCUUCCACAAUGGACGCAAGUCUGAUGGAGCAACGCCGCGUGAGUGAAGAAGGGUUUCGGCUCGUAAAGCUCUGUUGUUAAAGAAGAACGUGGGUAAGAGUAACUGUUUACCCAGUGACGGUAUUUAACCAGAAAGCCACGGCUAACUACGUGCCAGCAGCCGCGGUAAUACGUAGGUGGCAAGCGUUAUCCGGAUUUAUUGGGCGUAAAGCGAGCGCAGGCGGUCUUUUAAGUCUAAUGUGAAAGCCUUCGGCUCAACCGAAGAAGUGCAUUGGAAACUGGG
rnacentral:rRNA from 1 species